GGUUAACGACGUGCGAGCGGGCGGGGUAAUAAGAAGGGGGAAGGCGUUGAACGGGAGUAUGGGGACUAAAGGUGGGGCAGGCUGGCGGUGUAGGCGGAAGUGAAAGCCCACGGCACAACAGUGGAGGGUCAUUGGAAACUGGGGGACGUGAGUACAGAAGAGGAAAGCGGAAGUCCACGUGUAGCGGUGAAAUGCGUAGAGAGGUGGAGGAACAGCAGUGGCGAAGGCGGCUUUCUGGUCUGUAGCUGACGCUGAGGCGCGAAAGCGUGGGGAGCAAACAGGAUUAGAUACCCUAGAGUC
rnacentral:rRNA from 1 species